rnacentral:rRNA from 1 species
UACAGAGGUCUCAAGCGUUGUUCGGAUUCAUUGGGCGUAAAGGGUGCGUAGGUGGCUCUGUAAGUCGGGUGUGAAAUUUCGGAGCUUAACUCCGAAACUGCAUUCGAUACUGCGGUGCUUGAGGACUGGAGAGGAGACUGGAAUUCAUGGUGUAGCAGUGAAAUGCGUAGAGAUCAUGAGGAAGACCAGUGGCGAAGGCGGGUCUCUGGACAGUUCCUGACACUGAGGCACGAAGGCCAGGGGAGCAAACGGG